UACGUAGGGGGCCAGCGUUGUCCGAAGUUACUGGGCGUAAAGAGCGCGUAGGCGGGCCCUUAAGUGGGGGGUGAAAGGUUGGGGCUCAACCCCAACACUGCCUUUCAUACUGGGGCCUUGAGUGCGGGAGAGGCGAGUGGAAUGGUCGGUGUAGCGGUGAAAUGCGUAGAUAUCGAUCGGAACACCCAUGGCGAAGGCAGCUCGCUGGCCUGCAACUGACGCUGAGGCGCGAAAGCCGGGGGAGCGAACAGG
rnacentral:rRNA from 1 species